rnacentral:lncRNA from 1 species
UUCCGAAGCAGGCUCCAUUAAAGCCUGAGACAGAACAAUACCAGCAGCAUCAUGCGGUACUUGAAGUUGGGGAAUUCACGGUCGCACUUCUCGCAACGAUACAGUCCAUUCUGUUGGUCUAUCACUUUCUUAUUGCAAUCCUGAGAGGGACAGGCCUGGUACAUGCAGUUCUCUUUGCGCAGAUGUACUAUUGUGCCCACACAGCUAAAAUAAUCCGCCUUAUCUCCUUGUCCCAACCUCUCUGAUUUGGCUUCGUACAAAG